UGGGGAAUUUUGGACAAUGGGACAACCCUGAUCCAGCCAUCCCGCGUGUGCGAUGAAGGCCUUCGGGUUGUAAAGCACUUUUGGCAGGGAGGAAACAGCCUGGGGAUAGUACCCCGGGCGACUGACGGUACCUGCAGAAUAAGCACCGGCUAACUACGUGCCAGCAGCCGCGGUAAUACGUAGGGUGCAAACGUUAAUCGGAAUUACUGGGCGUAAAGCGUGCGCAGGCGGUUCGGAAAGAAAGGUGUGAAAUCCCAGGGCUUAACCUUGGAACUGCACUUUUAACUACCGAGCUAGAGUACGUCAGAGGGGGGUAGAAUUCCACGUGUAGCAGUGAAAUGCGUAGAGAUGUGGAGGAAUACCGAUGGCGAAGGCAGCCCCCUGGGCCAAUACUGACGCUCAUGCACGAAAGCGUGGGGAGCAAACAGGAUUAGAUACCCUGGUAGUCCACGCCCUAAAACGAUGUCAACUAGUUGUUGGGGAUUCAUUCCCUUAGUAACGUAGCUAACGCGUGAAGUUGACCGCCUGGGGAGUACGGUCGCAAGAUUAAAACUCAAAUGAAUUGACGGGG
rnacentral:rRNA from 1 species